ACACUUCACAACUGUUGAAGAUACGCACACAUCUUACUCUGGUGAACUGCACACUCAUGCUGCCCUGGAGAUAACGUAUUUUUGGCCUACCUAACAAGCUGGAUCUCCUCUUACAAGUACCGCAGUGUUUUGGAACAGUAACUCUGCCUGGUGCAGACAGAGGCUCCUGAAACUGUGCCGUGAUGUUGACAGGAGCCGUGAUGACACCUACACCUGAGAACACCAAAGAAUAAAGAAAAGUAUUACUGCCAAGCAGACAGACAGCAUCCAGAGACUUGGGGAAGUCUGUGAUCUGCUAAAGAGCCAGGCUGGUAGGAAAAGGAGGCGACAGGGGGGAGAAGUCUGAGAAGGACCAAACACACGGCAGAGCGGCAGACCUGGGAACCCCCAACUCUACCUGCUUCACGUUCUCAGGGACAAGCUCGUCUAGUGUGCCUGUCAGCACAAGGAAAAACCACUUUAUGGAGUGUUCUUUUGGACAGUAGUGUCAGGACGCUCUCCCACACGGGACAUCCUGUACGAGACGUGGCACACAUAGAUAUGUCCACUUCAACUCCUGCAUCAAGCUGGCGGUACUCCUGGACUUGAACCUGCAGC